rnacentral:rRNA from 1 species
UACGAAGGGGGCUAGCGUUGCUCGGAAUCACUGGGCGUAAAGCGCACGUAGGCGGAUUCCUAAGUCGGUGGUGAAAUCCUGGAGCUCAACUCCAGAACUGCCUCCGAUACCGAGAGUCUCCGAGUCCGGGAGAGGUGAGUGGAACUGCGAGUGUAGAGGUGAAAUUCGUAGAUAUUCGGAAGAACACCAGUGGCGAAGGCGGCUCACUGGCCCGUUACCGACGCUCAGGCGCGACAGCGUGGGGAGCAAACAGG